rnacentral:rRNA from 1 species
AACGAACGCUGGCGGCGUGGAUUAGGCAUGCAAGUCGAACGAGGGAGCAUCCCGAAAGGGAUGCAAACCGAGUGGCGUAAGGGUGAGUAAUACAUUGAUAACCUACCUCCAAGAUGGGAAUAACAACGUUCCAAGCAAUUGGGGCUACCGAAAGGGUUGCUAAUACUCAAUAAAAUUAUUGUUGCUUCGGCAAUAAUAGUCAAAUAGGCGGAAUCGAAAGAUUCCGCUUGCUUGAAGAGGGGUCAAUGUCCUAUCAGCUAGUUGUGGGGUAAUAGCCCACAAGGCGAAGCGGGUACCGGCUGAGAGGGUGUCGGCCAACUGGGACUGAGAUACUGCCCAGACUCUACGGGA